rnacentral:misc_RNA from 1 species
UCCGAGUUGACCCCGGCAGUCUCCCAUGAGUCCCCGGCAUAACCCGCUGGCAACAUGGAACGAGGGUUGCGCUCGUUGCGGGACUUAACCCAACAUCUCACGACACGAGCUGACGACAACCGUGCACCACCUGUGAACCGGCCCCAAAGGGGAAGCCGCAUCUCUGCGGCGGUCCGGCCCAUGUCAAGCCUUGGUAAGGUUCUUCGCGUUGCAUCGAAUUAAUCCGCAUGCUCCGCCGCUUGUGCGGGCCCCCGUCAAUUCCUUUGAGUUUUAACCUUGCGGCCGUACUCCCCAGGCGGAAUGCUUAAUGCGUUAGCUGCGACACCGGAAAGCUAGGCUCCCCAACGUCUAGCACUCAUCGUUUACGGCGUGGACUAC